CCUACGGGAGGCAGCAGUGGGGAAUUUUGGACAAUGGGGGCAACCCUGAUCCAGCCAUGCCGCGUGAGUGAAGAAGGCCUUCGGGUUGUAAAGCUCUUUCGGCCGGAACGAAAUCGCGCACGUGAAUAACGUGCGUGGAUGACGGUACCGGAGUAAGAAGCACCGGCUAACUACGUGCCAGCAGCCGCGGUAAUACGUAGGGUGCGAGCGUUAAUCGGAAUUACUGGGCGUAAAGCGUGCGCAGGCGGUUCGCUAAGUCAGACGUGAAAGCCCCGGGCUUAACCUGGGAACGGCGUUUGAAACUGGCGGGCUCGAGUACGGCAGAGGGGGGUGGAAUUCCACGUGUAGCAGUGAAAUGCGUAGAUAUGUGGAGGAACACCGAUGGCGAAGGCAGCCCCCUGGGCCGAUACUGACGCUCAUGCACGAAAGCGUGGGGAGCAAACAGGAUUAGAUACCCUGGUAGUCCACGCCCUAAACUAUGUCAACUAGUUGUCGGGGAAGCAAUUCCUUGGUAACGCAGCUACGACGUGAGUAGACGCCGUGGGAGGUACGGUCGCGAGAUAAACUACAANAGAGUAGACGGCGUGAGACGUGCCGACGGACGACGACGAGGGAGGUUAGG
rnacentral:rRNA from 1 species